GAUGGAUGGUAAGUCAAAGCUUGGUAUUGGUUGGUUUCGUUUGCUUGGUUAUAAAAGCCUGCUGAAUGGACCUCCACUCAGCCCUUCAAAUCAACUCAUUUAUUUACCCCACUGUAAAAAAACCAACUUGAGCAAACACAUGAUUUUCUCCGUUUCACUCCUCCUCCUUUUAUACUUUUUUGCAGACCACACUACCAAUUAUUUCACAUAUGGGGAUGCCCCAUUUCAUUUCCAACUUCCGAGUUUCCA
rnacentral:lncRNA from 1 species